rnacentral:rRNA from 1 species
AUGGAUCCAGAGCUCCGGGAGUACCUCGACAAGCUCAGCGAGAGCCUCGCCAAAUCGUAUGAAGAGACGCGCUCCGACCUCAAGGCACUGAAGACGCGGCUUCAGGGCCAAACCAGGAAGCUCGAUGACCUCUUCGACCCCAAGUCCCGCAUGGAGGAGCUCGAGAGCACCCACGGCAUCGUCGCCGACGGCCUCACACCGGCGGAGGAGGCCACCGACAUCGUCCCCGACCUCGCUGUCUCGGCUGCGAGCGCUAAGCCUCUCGAAGUUGACGCCACGGGCAUCGAUGCACAGACGCCCACAAGUUGUUCGACGGAUGGUUUCAACCCCAACGUCUGCGGAGACGACCCCAUGGCGGCCUGCCAGACCGCUUGUAGUACGCCUACGUCCCUCACCAUGCCGCUUGGGGACGCGCCAACCCUGCCGAGUGAGCCAACUCUUGUGCUCGACCCAAACGCACUUGCGCCUACCAAGUGCUCGACGGCGAACCUCAAGCAUGGUGACAACACUACCGACAACAUCAAGGCUACUAUGGUGUCACUACUACCAUCCAAGGCAGUCCCAUUGUUUGCUGACAACAAGUUCACCUCUAGGGUGUUCAUAUUGUGGCCACUAAGAGGGAAUGUGACAGAAUGGCAACCAUGGCCUCCACCUUUGCAGGUGUGGAUCACACACAAGGGACGCAUGUUCAGGCCAAGACCAUGGCCAUUGUUCGAGUACUAUCACGGAGCUGUGCAACUGAGCCAGUCCUGGCCACCACCGUGGAGACCAUAUUUGGAGUUGGGCCUCGGAACUGGGGCUAGGAUGAAAUGUUCCUAUGCUGAGUGGACAUACUCGUUGGAUAUUGGCUCCUUGGAUUCUGGUGAACCUACACUACACGCCACAAGAGAACUAAUACUGAAUGAAAUGGAUCAUUUGCUAAUUAAGCUCGCUUGCCAUAGCAGUUCAGAAGGCUUUAGCAUCAGGGAAGAAGAAACUACAUGCAUGAGAGGUUUUAGGCAGCAUGAUAUUGCACAGCCAUACUGGAGGCUAGGGAAACAGCCAGUGGGAAGUGACCUGAGAAAGUUUUGUGUGUGUUUGAAUGAGCUACAGCUGGCUAGAAGUGGCAUAGAGCCUGUUACUCUUAGCAGAAUGGUCACCUACAGGAAUCAUUGUACAUCCGGGGAGCAUAAGAAAUUAAACAUGAAGUGCACUGGUAAGAGUUCUUGUGAGAAAAAAACUGGAUUGUGUUCCUUACGCCCGAGCACUAGCAGACCAUGGAUGGUGUUCCCAGUCGAGUGGCCAUUAUCUUCCAGGAGAGAACUUCUUGUUGGGGCCAAGAUUAUAAGUAUGGAAGUUACUUGCACAGUAAAAUUAUGCUCAACCAGAGGUGUUAUAUUCAGUUCUUAUUCUGGUCCUUUAAAAUCUUCAAGCAAUUGUGAGCAGCCUCAAAAUCUAGAGAGCUCUGAUGCUACUACUUUGACACCGCCAGUCGAAUUUCAGUCAUCUUAUUCUAUUGGAAUGAUGUCCUUGAGCUACAUGUGUGAUAUUCUGCACUCCUUUAGCAAUGAAGUCGCAAGGAAUAGUGUUGACAACCGAUCAAUAAUACUGGUCAUGUGGCCUCGGCUACUGAGAUUCCUAUCACCUGCCAGUUCUGAACCUGAUGGUAUGACUAGCUCCUGUACUGUAGUUAAUUCACAAAUUUUCCCUGAGUUGAGGCAUUUGUACUUUGAGCUACCUGGAAUGGGGAGGUGUGGGAUAUAUAUGCAGCUCAUUGACCUCGCACUUGACGCGUUGGCGCACACCAAGUAUUCGACGGAAGGCUUCAAAGUCAGCUUCAACUCAAUUGUGCUUGUGUCCAUGAGUGGUGCAUCAAGGAGUGCUACGGUGACCACGCUCUCCAUGGCCGCAUCUCAAGGUGUUGUACCGACGGUAGCUCUUACUACCCCCCACACCAAUUAUAGUGGCCUUGGACAAGAGCUACGACCACUGCCAUGGCUGUCGUUUGAUUGUUCUUAUCAAGGUUGA